rnacentral:rRNA from 1 species
CUCUUUAUAAGUAAAAUCUGCUCCAUGUUUUAUAAAUAGCCGCAGAAUUUUAACUGUGCUAAGGUAGCAUAAUCAUUUACCUUUUAAUUAAAGGUUUGCAUAAACGAUUUUACAUUUAAAUUACUUUUUUAUUAAUUUUUAUAAAAUUUAAAUUAAACAUAAAAAUGUUUUUAUUUUAAAAAAAGACGAUAAGACCCUAUUGAACUUAACUUUAGUUUAGCUGGGGAAGCUAAUUAAAUAUAAUUUUAAUACUAACUUUUUUUGAGAGCCCUAAUAUAAUUAUAUUUAGCAAGUUACCGUAGGGAUAACAGCGUAAUAAAAUUUUAAAGCUCAUAUUAAAAAUUAAGUUUACGACCUCGAUGUUGAAUUAGGAUUUCUUAUAAACGCAAUGGUUUAUAAAGAAGGUCUGU